AAAGUCGUAACAAGGUUUCCGUAGGUGAACCUGCGGAAGGAUCAUUAUCGAAUUUAAAGCUUGGUUGAGCUGCCACUUUGGUGGAUGUGCUUGCCUCGCCGUCUAUUCUCAACACCUGUGCACAUUUAGCGGUUUUUCUCUUUAGGCGGGGGAGUAAAGGGUUCUGGUUAAAUACAGACCUUUUUCUUUUUUGGUUUUGAAGAGAGAAGCUUGCGCCUUUUUAUAAUACCCCCUUUUAAAAUAGUUAAUGAACGUCAAAAAUGUAGGCACACCGUAAAAACGUGAUUUGCUGAAUUAAAAAUUAUACAACUUUUAACAACGGAUCUCUUGGCUCUC
rnacentral:misc_RNA from 1 species